rnacentral:rRNA from 1 species
AUUGAACGCUGGCGGCAGGCCUAACACAUGCAAGUCGAGCGAGUGGCGGACGGGUGAGAAAUGUAUCGGGAGUGCCCGCUAGAGGGGGAUAACUAAUGGACACGGUGGCUAAUACCGCAUACUAUCGGAUAACCCAUAUGGGAUUAGCUAGUUGGUGAGGUAAAGGCUCACAAAGGCGACGAUCCGUAGCUGGUCUGAGAGGACGAUCAGCCACACUGUGACUCAUACACGGCCGCGAAGCCUACGGAGGCAUCCGUGGCGAAUCUUGCACAAUGGGCGAAAGCCUGAUGCAGCCAUCCCGCGUGUAUGAUGAAGGCCUUAGGGUUGUAAAGUCCUUUCUGCAGGGAAGCGUUACCCGCAGAAUAAGCACCGGCUAACUCCGUGCCAGCAGCCGCGGUAAUUC